CAAACGGGUGAGUAACACGUAGGUAACCUACCCCGGAGUGGGGAAUAACGACCCGAAAGGGUCGCUAAUACCGCAUACGAUCGAGAGAUGAAAGGUUCCUGUAAGGGAGACCGCUCUGGGACGGGCCUGCGGCCCAUCAGGUAGUUGGUGAGGUAAUGGCCCACCAAGCCGAUGACGGGUAGCUGAUCUGAGAGGAUGACCAGCCACACUGGCACUGAUACACGGGCCAG
rnacentral:rRNA from 1 species